CGCAAAAGUGACAUUACACACCUUCUCUCAUGAGAACAAUGAGCACAUGUUGCAGCAUUCUGCUUCUUUGUUUAACCAACAGUAUUAAGAUUUUCCUGUAAGAGGCAAGGUUGAAGAAAAUUUCUCUGUACGAAGAUCGUUUGUGGAUCCCACAUUACUUCCCUUCUCUCUCGGUAUAGUCCAGAGGUAAAUACAUUCAGAUUAUUCUAAAGCAUGUUCAACAACGGCUAUAUGUGAAUAUUGCACUGAUUGUGUGUUUGUCAGAUUAUGUUGAGUAAAUGGCAGGACGCAGAGUAGCGAUAUAGGCUUUUAUUAAUAAAAAAAUAUAUAUAUAAGCACAGUCCAGGGCAACAAACAAGAUGACGGGCUGGAGCAGGGCUGAAACAGACAAAUAGGACAGGAACCGACUGGCAGACACAAAACAGGGAACAUAUCCACAACAAAAUGGCACAAGACAACAAAAAAACUAAAAAACAGUGGGGUUAAAUAGGGAAGAAAACAAGGAGAUAACGAGGAGGGCAAGUGAAAACAACUAAUAAUCAGACAGAUAAGAAGGCAAAUGAAAGGGCGGGGUUAUCACUGAAGACAGACACGAAUGCAAAAGGGAAUGAGAAAACACAAACCGAAGUGCAUUUACACAGCACGAGACAAAACACAAGUGCCUGGAUUCAGUCACAGAGUAAAUAAAUCAAACCAACUGAAAUUGCUGAAUCCAGACACAAGACAUAAAACAGACAUAGAACACGUACAUGUCAGGGCUCUGCCACAAAGGGGAAAGCCCCAAAACUAAGGGCAGAACCCUGACAGUGUUUGAUUGAUUUUCACAAGGGUGCGGUGUAUAUUAAUUACUGUUUCCUUUUAUUUUUCCUGUUGUUUAUGUAUACACUUGUCAGAGUUGCCUUGAUACAGUAUAUUCUCACUGAAGUGAGAGAUACUUUCCAGUGUUUAUUUUUACAGUGUGUGUUGUGUUGUGCCUGCCUCUGUUGAUUAAUCUGAAAUGCGUUGAUUGAUCACUUGUAUUUCUCUUGGCUGAUUGAUUUUAACUUUAUUGUAAUGAUCUCUCUUUCCAGAGUGGCAUAGUUGUAGUAAAUUAUAGAGGUGGCCACAACAUUAUGAAUGCUCCAAGGCUUUAGCCAAUAUGUUAUAGUACAUGUUCACAUAACAUAGAAGUUGAGUAAUAUCCUAAUAUCAUUCAUUCUUGUACAUAGAACAUUUUAAACACAUUUAACAUUUCAGAUAGGAGGUAGAUACUAUUGUGUGCUUGAAGAAAAAGAUUUGGCUUCUCAUUAACAACUUUAAAAUGCCAUGUUCAAAAGGCAUAAAAUCUUUUCUUUCUCUUUUUUCUGGCUUUUAUUUACACAGCAUUGGCUACAUUCAUAAUUAUUCAAAUGAACAAAUUAAUGCCAAAUCAGUGAAUGAACACAGAACACGCCUGAAGGCAUUGAGAAGUCAAAAAACUAACAAUGUCUGCAUUGUUUUUAGAAUCUCUCUUUUUAAAAGGUGUUAAAAACAAAAGCACACAGUCUAGAUGUGUGAAAACAUUUAUACUCAUUUCUUACAUGCUGGAUUUUUAGAAAAGGAACUACUCUCUCUGUUGUCUCUCAUUUGGCUAGUGUUUUAAAGGCAAUUUAAAAUGCAUUGCUUUAAUGUAGAAAAAAGCAGUAUCACAUCGAUUCAGCCUUCAGAAUCAUGAAUCUUGAUUUUUCCACCUAGAUCAGACUGGAAACAGAAUAUAAUUUUCCCAUUCUGGUAUUGGAGGGAGAAGAAAUAACAAUAAAAAAAUUAAAAAAAUUAAACAAAAUAAAUAAUAAUAGUAAAAAUAAAUUCUUUCAUUUGAGAGCAGCUCUGAAAUGUCUAAUGCAGAAUGACUGUGAUUUGUAAAGCCCAGAGUACAAUAUAAGAUAUAUUAAGGGCAGCAAAUCAAUGCUAGUCCAGUUAAUAUUUUAACAAAAAGGUAGAAUCCAUCCACUCACAUUAUGGAACAUACAUGUAUAACAAGCAAUGAAAAGGGGAAUUAUUUCUGUGAAUUGCCAUAUUGCAUAUUAGUACAGUUUCACUAUUAUAUUUUAAAUGCACCUUAGCAUAACUGAUAAUGAAUUUGCUCAUGGUUGUGAAAGGCACUGAUUAAAUUAAAGUGGCUUCUGUGUUAAAAUGAGAUGUGGUCUGAUUUUAACAUUCUUAUUUUGUAAUUAUUUAUUUAUUUACUAACAAUAAAUAAAAUGCUUAAUGCCUUAAUGUGUAUUUAUUUUUGUUUUAGAGGAUGAGAGACCCAGUGGAAAGAGCUUGUGCCCUGAAGAGGAAAAUCCUGAUUUAAAUUCCCCCCAGUGCGCUUUCUUUGACAGCUGCCAUUGUGCCCAUAAACCUUUCACUUUAACUGUCAGCCGCUCCAGAGGCAUUGCUGUACACCUGCCCAUGUGCUCUAAUCCAUUCUCUCUAUCUGUGACUGAAGUGCAGUCACACUAUCUCAUAUUUAUAAGUAAUUAAACUUAUUGCGGUUAAAAAUGCACUAUAAAUCCAAAGAUUACAGAGCCUGUGACGGAAUUGUCUGAACUGAGGUGAGAACGGCAUGACAAUGACGUUUUGAUAAUGCAGGCAAAAAGUCCCUACGGUGACAUAUUCGUUCGGAAAGUAGAUUAGGUGGAGUACUUAAAAUUUUUCAUUUAUUAAGAGAACCCCAGAACAUCAUAUCCUGUUGCUUAUAUUUGUUACGGGAUCUAGGGUUGGACGAUGUGACCAAAAUCUUAUAUCAUGAUGUAAGUAAUUUUAUAUCACGAUAACGAUAUAGUUAGAUUUAAAAAAAAAAAAAAAAAAAAAUAAUAAUAAAAUUAAAUCUAUAAAAAUUGGUUUAUAUAAUAUUGUUUUUUUUUUUUUAUAAUCCAGUUAGUGAAUUAAAUAUUUUAUAAAUGAAAAUUUGGAACUUGACAAACAUAGUCAAAGUAAAAAAAAAAAAAAAUGUCCAUACACACAAACCUUAUUUUCCUGGCUCAGAUGAACCCUCAGUGUCAGAAUGGCUGUCAGACACGUGAAGAUAGUUUCACAUUAUUUGAUUCUCAUUCUCUGAUGUCUGUUUUAGGGAAAGAUGCUUGCUGCUAUAUUGCUGCUUGUUGUGUGUAUCUGCUAUGGUCUACUGUCAUCAAAAAACUGUGUCGGCACUCCGAGUCCCUACUCACAUUAAUAUGAGGGAGAGAGGCAACUGUCGCACAUUGUGCUAACACGGCAACCUCCACCACCCCACCACCACAAGUCCAGUCCCGUCCUGCACGGGGGUAGGCUCCUCGCCCCUGCCUCCUAUCUCCGGCAGGAUAUGACGGUUCCGAGUACAACUUCUUUGGACCGCCAGAUGGGGCUUACGCCAAAGUCUGCAAGUCUUCCUGAUAGAACUGCUGAUCUCCUGAGAUUUUCAAGCUCAACAGUCUCUAGAAUUUAAUCAAAAUUGUGCCAAAAACAAAAAACAUCCAGCGACACGAGGGGGACCUACACAAUAUUUGGCAGGUGGUUUUAAUAUUGUGGCUGAUCGGUGUAUUAUCAGGCUAUAUGAAUUUUCUAAAUUUUGCGUGGCCGAUAGGUUACUAAGAGGAGAAAGACAUACUUUAACCCACCUUUUUUGUUUUCCCCAAUGUGAAAUGAGAAGUUUGUCAUUUUUUGGGCCACAAGUCUUUUUAUUUCCACAAUGAAUCUUUGCUUGUGGUAACUAAUUAUAUACAGUACAAGAGGGGGAAGGGGGCUACUUCCCCCUCUUGUGUUCAUUCUCAACAUCUGUAAUGUUUUGUAUUUGUGAUUAGUCUUAUUAUAGGCCUAUUUGACAAAAUCCAUCUUUCUUUUUAUAUGUUAGCCUUUGUUCGUGAUGGAGUGGUAUUGGAGCAAUGGAAAUGCUGAUUUUUUUUUUUCCAGAAAAAAAGAAAAUAAAAUGCUUCUCUGGAGGGAAAAUCUCGCCGUUUUGCUUCUAUUCUACUACCAUAACAUGAGUCCCGUUCACUGAUUGGGACAAUUGGGACCACAGUCGGCUACGAUGUGUAUCGUACAGUCUGACAUAAUGUCGCACAGUGUACCAUGGUGUUAUCAAUGCAUUCAUAUUGUACAGUCUGACAAGCAACAAUCUUAAAGGUCUGUAAAAAUCGUAAAGUUUAUUUAAGCUUUAAGAGCGUUAAACACAUCAAGAGAAUUUUAUUUGCAUCCCUGUUCUUUCAACAUGUAGCUACUGUCAUACUGUAUUGACCCAGAUACACAAACAAACUGCAUCCAAAAGAAUAGUCAAAUAUUCCAAAACAUGUCCAAAAACAAAAAACAGAAGACCAACCCAAUGAAUAAUACAGCUGCUUGAGUGUUUAGAAUGUGUUUAUAUACUAAAUGAGCUGAAAGGUGCACCAGCAAAAAACAUCCUGGUUACUUUCAUAACCUCCAUUCCCUGAUGGAGGGAACGAGACAUUGUGUCAAUGUAGUGACACUAGGGGUCACUCUUGGGAAUUGGCAAGUGGAAUUUGCAUGCCACUACCCUGGACAUAUGGGUAUAAAAGGAGCUGGUAUGCAACCACUCAUUCAGGAUUUGUGCUGAGGAGCCGAGACAAGGUCCCGGCCAUUUCAGUGGGUAGUUCAGUGUUGUGGCAAGAGGGACACAACGUCUCAUUCCCUCCAUCAGGGAACAGAGGUUAUGAAAGAAACCAGGACAUUCCCUAUCUAUCACUCACUCGACGUUGUGUCGAUGUUAUAUGCCCCAGGAGCCUCUGAAAAUGUUUCAGUGGAACCGCUGUCUUCUGUCUGAACACCUUCAGACAGUUCAGCACCGACUGUGCAUGCUCAUUCGUGAGGCACCGUCAUCGAGACUGAGUCAAACUCCAAGUCGAGAAAAAAUAUGCUCUGAACCGGGGAGAGCUUGCUCUUUUCCCAGUUGACCCGAAGCCCCAGUCGGCUGAGAUGCGUGAGCACCAGGUCCCUGUACGCACACAACACAUCCCGAGAGUGAGCUAGGAUUUGCCAGUCGUCGAGAUAAUUGAGGAUGCGGUCACCCACUUCCCUUAGCGGGACAAGGGCUGCCUCUGCGACCUUCAUGAAGACACGAGGGGACAAGGAUAGGGCUUUCUCUGCACUCCACGGGUGCAGAGGGGGAGAAGCCACUGAAAUUUGCCAUAAAUCCAGCAGUUUGAGGUGAACGGUAGGAAGAAAUUGAAUUCAGUGCACUGAAUGCAACCGUUCGGCUCCAAAGAGAAAAUCUGAAUGAGUGGUUGCAUGCCAGCUCUUUUUAUACCCUUAUGUCCGGGGGACUGGCAUGCAAAUUCCACUCGCCAAUUCCCAUUGGCCUUUUUAAAAAAAGAAGAGGUGUUUGGGGCUCCCAAGAGUGACCCCUAGUCGAAGAAACUCUGACUGGCUUGGAGUCUGAUGAAAUAAAAUUGAAUUGUUUGGCCAUAAUGACCAUCAUUAUGUUUGGAGGAAAAAGGGUGAGGCUUGCAAGCCGAAGAACACCAUCCCAACCGUGAAGCAUGGGGGUGGCAGCAUCAUGUUGUGGGGGUGCUUUGCUGUAGGAGGGACUGGUGCACUUCACAAAAUAGAUGGCAUCAUGAGGAAGGAAAAUUAUGUGGAUAUACUGAAGCAACAUCUCAAGACAUCAGCCAGAGAGUUAAAGCUCGGUCGCAAAUGGGUCUUCCAAAUGGACAAUGUCCCCAAGCAUACCUCCAAAGUUGUGGCAAAAUGGCUUAAGGACAACAAAGUCAAGGUAUUGGAGUGGCCAUCACAAAGUCCUGAUCUCAAUCCAAUAGAAAAUUUGUGGGCAGAACUGAAAAAGCAUGUGCGAGCAAGAAGGCCUACAAACCUGAUUCAGUUACACCAGUUCUGUCUGGAGGAAUGGGCCAAAAUUCCAGCAACUUAUUGUGAGAAGCUUGUGGAAGGCUACCCAAAAUGUUCGACCCAAGUAAAAAAAUGUAAAGGCAAUGCUACCAAAUACUAACAAAGUGUAUGUAAACUUUUGACCCACUGGAAAUGUGAUGAAAGAAAUAAAAGCUGAAAUAAAUCAUUCUCUCUACUAUUAUUCUGAUAUUUCACAUUCUUAAAAUAAAGUAGUGAUCCUAACUGACCUAAGACAGGGAAUGUUUUCUACGAUUAAAUGUCAGGAAUUGUGAAAAACUGAGUUAAAAUGUAAUUUGGCUAAGGUGUAUGUAAACUUCUGACUUCAACUAUAUAUGUAGCCUACCAUAAAUGAAAGAAUAUAAAUUCAAUCCUCAUUCUGACAAUACGUUUUGUAACAAAGCUGAAUGGUUGAGCUUGAUGAAUGCAGUCAACACUGCAAUUUGUAUAAAAAAAUUGAGAAAAUGAAUUGAAAUUAUUUACUUGUCUUCCUGCCAUGCUGUAGAAAGGGGUCAAAUAAUGUUAUGUCUUUGGGUGUAUUAAUUUUAUGGAAUGUAAAUUUUUUUGUAAUCGAGGAAAUGUAUGCGGCAGUGUGAGACACAGCUAAAUUAGGCUUUUGGUAAUUAAAAUUAAUUAAUAAAAUUGCAUUUUACUACAAUAAAUGUAAUAUCCAUUCAACCUAUUCAAAAUUAUGAUAUUGCUGUGUGAUUUAGUUAUGUGAGUCACGAAGGUCUUUGAGGUGGGUCAGGACAAA